CUCCCACUGGGGCUUAUGGGCACAGCUUAGGGAUAGCAUACUGGCGCUGGCAGGGAACUGGGUCCUUGCUGCAGGCCAGUGGACACAUAGACACCAUUCCCGAUGUACUUACUCAAGGGUCCAGUGGUUUGGGGCAAUGAAGAUUGGAUAUCUGGCCAGACCCCACGCCUAUUCCCAGCGCCAGAGGCGGACAACCGCUUUACUGAGAUACAGAGACAGGUACUUCCUGAGGCACUUCAGUCCAGUUCCACUGGGUUUACUACAACUAAUAAUGACUGUUUCUGUUUACUAGGUAUUAGGCGAUGUGUUUUAAGUAAAUGAAUUGUCUCUAAUCCUCACAACUCUAAAGCAAGUUAGGCGUCACCCGCAUUUUACAAAUCAUAGCGCCCUGCUCACCAUAUCUGGAAUCUUGCCUCGCCCCGAGGGUUCUAAUUUUCACUUUAGAGAGCUGAGCAAGAUGAUUGCCCAGCGCUAACUCCGUGAAAUCCCUGGGACUGAAAAUCACAGGUAACUCGCCAGAGUUUUUCAAUUUUAGGCCUAGGAGAUUAUGCAAAGAUUUCCUUCAAGUAAACGCUGUUCUCUGGGGCCUCUGGGAUCUACAGUCGGAGAAGGGGAAUAAGUCCCGGGCCGGUGGGGGAUGGGUGGGUGCAGUUUCCUAAAUAGAGGAAAGCCACUUUCAUUCAAAGGGCUGUGGAACUCUGGCUAGAGGUGGGUUUCUUUGCAGUUAAUCAUCUGCAAGGCUCUUUGGAUGCCUGAUUCCAGAAACCCAGAACUCACACUUAGGGUCACAAAAUCCAGGGCAUUUAUUUGCCGAGCCCCAUGGAUGUUAUCCCUAUGGAUGCACCCCGCCCCUGUCCGUUCUCCUUUGGAGCAGAACGAAACCCAUUCCAGAGCUUUUGCAGGAAGUCUUCAGGCCCUUGCGUCCGGCCCCUUUAGACAUCAAAGCCCCCCCUGAGAGCAAAGGACUUUGAAAGAUAGGAAAAGCUCAGGAUCCUUAUCGCGUCUCUGCUCCCUCCCGACCUAGUCGUAAAUUCCGAGCCUCAGCGGCCGCCCUCUCUCUCCUCCGCUCUUCUUGACCCAAGGUCUCAAAAGACAAACGUGUCACUUCCCGCCCCGCCCCUGGAUCCUGGUCCCGACCGAAUGUAGUGGGGACCGAGAAGCGCAAGGUCCAGGACUUGUUAGAGGGGCGCGCCAAGGGCGCCCCUGUUCCGCCAGGACAUCACCGCCUGGGUACUCUACUUCACCCUCCCGCAGCCUUCUUUGGGGCCGGGCGGGGCGGGGCGGGGCAGGGGGGCCGGGCGCGGCCUACGCGCCCCCUCGAGUGCGCGGUGCGGGACGGGCGCGGUUGACGCGCUCCCGCCGGUGUCUGUGCUUCUCCGCAGGCCAGGAGGGCAUCCUGCGCUGCCACCCGGACCUGGCGGGCAGCGAGCUGCAGCGGGGCACGCUCACGGCCGAGUCGCAGCGGGAACAGAGCGGCGCAGGCCUGAGGAGCCUGGGCGCGGACGAGCGGCUGCGGCUGGCCGAGCUCAACGCGCAGUACCGCGCGCGCUUCGGUUUCCCCUUCGUGCUCGCCGCGCGCUUCAGCGACCGGACGGCGGUGCCGCGCGAGCUGGCGCGCCGGCUGCUCUGCCCGUCCGCGCAGGAGCUGCGCACUGCUCUGGGCGAGGUGAAGAAGAUCGGCAGCCUGCGCCUGGCCGACCUCCUCCGCGCAGACCCCGCCAAGCUGUAGCUGCCGCGCGGGCCAGGGACCCGGGACGCACAACCGGACGCGCGGGGGCCACGGCCCGGAGCUGUGCGUCCUGGGCGGGAGGCGGACUCGGGCCUGGAACAGCGUCCACACACGUGCACAAAGGAAGUGGAGAAUUGAGGCAAUCAUACGAGUAAUGAGUCCUUUUGUCCGCCCACCCACACGCGCACGCGUUGCCAAAAUAUCCAUAUUGUUUAGUGCUUUGCCCCGGAUUUAUCCAGCUCACUGCUUCAAUUCUUCACUCCCUUUGCGGCCCCCGACACCACCGGCCUUUGUGGAUUCCAAAGCGUUUAUCCAGUUCUCCCCAACCCUCUCCUGCUAAGCCCGAACUGCAAAGCAAAACGGACGGAAAAGGAAUCUUUUAUGCCACAG
rnacentral:lncRNA from 1 species